rnacentral:tRNA from 2 species
GCCGAAGUGGCGAAACUGGUAGACGCAGUUGACUCAAAAUCAUCCGCUAGAAAUAGUGUGUCGGUUCAAAUCCGACCUUCGGCACCA